UAGAAAUCCAGUGUUACAAUUUUAUUUGCAAGCCCAUAGGAUUUCUUCAGUUUCAGUAGGAUCAUCAAGCUAAGUCACAAGGACCAAUUUUCUCUUGACCUAAAGUCUUCAUACUCGAGCAACAACAUGGAUGGACCUUGAGGACAUUAUGCUAAUGGGAAAUAAUACCUUCCUGACAUUUUGACAAGUUAAUGAAGCAUCUCUUUCCCAUCUGAAAAAGUCAGUUGGCAUCCCUUCGUCAAGCAAGUGGGUCACCGCCACGGCAUAAACGCUGACAAGUGGGGUAAGUCCACACCAAGGAACCGAACUCAGGCUACCAAAUGAUCCAGAAGAAGACAGUCUACAGGGAGAAGUAAAAAUGAAGUAAAGAGAUCAGUAGUCUCAGAUCUGCCUUUCUUUCCACCACUCAGUUUCUUCCUACAGCUCAGGAUGCUGGUUGAGGCUCCACAGCACCCUCUUGAAGACCUACAGCACCUUCUCAAGGAUCCACGGCCCCCUCUGGAGGCUCUGUUGCACCCUUUUGGGGAUCUAUAGCACCGUCUUGCCACUUUUCCUGGCUCCCCAGGGCUUCCUCCCAGUGCCUAUUCUCUGCUCUCUUUGCUGGCUUCCAACUGCCAUUAAUUCUAAUACAUGCCCUUCCCUAACAUGUUUACCUGGGGAAGAAUCUAAGUAAUUAAUUCUCACUAGGUAUUACUGAUUAAUUUAUUAGAAUCCUAAAAAGUUGUGCAUUUUAACAGGAAUUCCCUUCACCCAAAGGGUUGUUAGAGGUGGGACGGACCUUAAAAGUAAAAGCGAUUGAAGCCAAGUCUCUCCUCCUCCCUCCACACUUCAUUUGUAAGCUACAUACAGCCACACCAGGGCUGAUGCUGUCUGUACUAGUCCUUCUUAUACUACAUUGCCUCCAGUGAAGGAGCUCCCAGCACCAGGACAGAUGUGUUAGGGAUAUUUCUGAAGCAAGAGAGCCUUUUCAGCAUGCUUAAACAUUCCUUAUAGGCUAUGAUCUUCUUAACUCACACAUUAGGCUUUCCUGAGAAAGCAGACAGCAAUACCAUUAGCCCUGGAUAUAAAAACUUAUCUACC
rnacentral:lncRNA from 1 species